ACACUUACCUGGUAGGAGAGAAACCAUGAUAAUGAAGAUGGCUUUCCCAGGGCAAGGCUCAUCCAUUGCAUUCCAGAUGUGCUAACCUCUGUGAUUUCCCCCAAAUGUGGGAAACUCGAGUGUGUAGUUUGUGGUAGUGGGGGACUGCAUCCAUGUUCUCUCCUA